CCAUGGCCCUCUUCUUUGUUCUCUGCUGGAUCCAAGAUGAAAUUGUGCUCCAAGUGUUUUCCAAGGUUCCGUAUGACCCAUCAUUUGAUGAAACAAGAACAGCAGUCAGAUCCAUUACAAAGAGAGACACACAAAAAAACUAUGUGAAAAUGAGCUUAGCCCCUGGUGUUGUGUUGGAACUUCAGAUGCUUGCAGACACUUCAUGAAUGCUCUGUGACACUCAGAAUAGGCUAUUCCCAACAGAAGAGCUUGAACAAUGCUGCAUUUGCAUCAGGUUCAAAUGAGCGAGAGGAACAUUUGGCUAAAAUAUUUGACACUUAAGGAAACUUUUAUCAGGUCAUUGACUAACUUCAGAGAUAAGAAAACAGAAAAUUCAGCACUUUCACACAACAAGAAGUACGCACUUUGCAAAACUAGUUUGGAAAAGUUACAAAAAGAUGGCUUCAGCCUUCAAUAAGCAAAAAUCAACAAUCACUGAAAGAGAGGAUUAGAUUUCCAGAGUUAUCAAAAUGUAAUACACAGAAUGUCCAUCUCUCAACGUAAAAUUAUAAAACAUACAAAGAAACAGGAAAGGAUGGCUCAUUCACAGGAAAAAGGAAUUUGGCAGAACUUGUUCCUGAGGAAACCUGGGAAUUAAAAUUAUUACACAA
rnacentral:lncRNA from 1 species